CUACGUGCCAGCAGCCGCGGUAAUACGGGGGGUGCGAGCGUUAAUCGGAAUAACUGGGCGUAAAGGGCACGCAGGCGGUGACUUAAGUGAGAUGUGAAAGCCCCGGGCUUAACCUGGGAAUUGCAUUUCAUAUUGGGUCGCUAGAGUACUUUAGGGAGGGGUAGAAUUCCACGUGUAGCGGUGAAAUGCGUAGAGAUGUGGAGGAAUACCGAAGGCGAAGGCAGCCCCUUGGGAAUGUACUGACGCUCAUGUGCGAAAGCGUGGGGAGCAAACAGGAUUAGAUACCCUGGUAGUCCACGCUGUAAACGAUGUCGAUUUGGGGAUUGGGCUUUGAGCUUGGUGCCCGUAGCUAACGUGAUAAAUCGACCGCCUGGGGAGUACGGCCGCAAGGUUAAAACUCAAAUGAAUUGACGGGGGCCCGCACAAGCGGUGGAGCAUGUGGUUUAAUUCGAUGCAACGCGAAGAACCUUACCUACUCUUGACAUCCAUGGAAUCUUGUAGAGAUACGAGAGUGC
rnacentral:rRNA from 1 species